AGAACGAACGCUGGCGGCAUGCCUAACACAUGCAAGUCGAACGAGACCUUCGGGUCUAGUGGCGCACGGGUGCGUAACGCGUGGGAAUCUGCCCUUGGGUUCGGAAUAACAGCGAGAAAUUGCUGCUAAUACCGGAUGAUGACGUAAGUCCAAAGAUUUAUCGCCCAAGGAUGAGCCCGCGUAGGAUUAGCUUGUUGGUGAGGUAAGAGCUCACCAAGGCGACGAUCCUUAGCUGGUCUGAGAGGAUGAUCAGCCACACUGGGACUGAGACACGGCCCAGACUCCUACGGGAGGCAGCAGUGGGGAAUAUUGGACAAUGGGCGAAAGCCUGAUCCAGCAAUGCCGCGUGAGUGAUGAAGGCCUUAGGGUUGUAAAGCUCUUUUACCCGGAUGAUAAUGACAGUACCGGAGAAUAAGCUCCGGCUAACUCCGUGCCAGCAGCCGC
rnacentral:rRNA from 1 species